rfam:Cardiobacterium valvarum F0432 genomic scaffold Scfld496, whole genome shotgun sequence.
CGAUCGCACAGCACCCUACACGGGUGUCAAACUCGUCUGUAACCCGGCAACGUCAUCCGCGCGAUGGCGUGACGACCCAACUCUACCCGCGCUGCCACCAUCCGGCAGCCUCACC